ensembl:lncRNA
UUUUUUUUUUUUAAAGAGUAAAUAAAAUCUGAUAAGCUUGGAAUAAGGUUGGAAAAACACUGAAUUAUGUAACAGCAACACUCCAUGAACUCUUUCUUGGAUGAGUGGGUUUAUGGAACCACAAGCCAAUAGACCAAGAGAGCAGGGUGUAGCAGUUUCUUUUACAGGGAGUGAGGAGAAAAAUAUGAGACUCGAACCUCAGGAGAGAUUUUGUAGGUCUAACUUGGUGGAAUAUUGGCAACUUGAUAAGGAUUAGUUCUUAUCCUUAUAACUAUCUGAAUAGUUCUGCUUUCUGUAUGUGGAUAUCAAGCUUCAGUUCUACCCAAAUGUGAGGCAAAAUGUCAUCAUCUUUAGUAAUAUCACCUCCCUAGUAACAGCAAUACUGUGAGAAGUGUUGCGCUGAACUCCGGGAAGAGGAAUUCCAACCACAGUGGAACUUCUAAAGAAACUGGAAGCCAUGAUAAUGGCGAUGGAGGGGUAGGGAAGAGAAGUGAAACCAUGAGUGAGUACACUGGAUAGCCUAGGGCACUGUCUGAUUUGCAUCUGGUUAUGCUGAAAAGAACCAUAGCCCCUGCUAAACGUGCUGGGGAGGGGAUGGAAGUGUAACUGCAACUCUGCUACGUUUGAGAAAUAACAUAUUUGAGCCCUCUACUAGGAGAAUGAAGUACAAAAUACAGAGACCUUUUCUUUUUAAUUAUUUAAUUGAGGUAUAGUUGAUUCAUAAUGUUUACUAGUUUCAAGUGUACAGCUUUGCAUUAUAAGUUAUUACAAGAUACUGAAUAUAGUUCCCUGUGCUAUAUAAUAGGUCCUUGUUGUUUAUCUGUUUUAUAUGCAGCAGUGUAUAUAUGUGUUACAAAGCACAUGGACACUUGAUUGAGAGGCAGUUAACAAUAUUGUGCUUCCCGCCCUGCAGUUCCUUCCCUGACACUUUCCCCAGCCCUUACCAAGGAGCAUUUCUUAGGACCCAGUCUUAGGCCCUCUGCUUUCAUUCCUCCCGGUCCACUUCCAAGAGCUCUUUCCAUUUACAUAACUUCAUCUGACUCCCUACUCCCUAGAGAGCCCUCUCAUCUUGCCUUCUCUUCAGCCCCGUGGGGACAGGUACUUGAUUCCUGCUUAACUUCACCUGUGUGCUACUCCAUUUACUACCCUGUAAAUGUUCCAUUAAGAUCUUUGAAUGUCUAGUCCUUUGUAAAGGUUCUUAAUCAUCUUCAGUUGGGUGCAUGUGUCACCUAACAAGACUGCGAACUCUCUGGAGGUAGGGACAAAAUUCUUAAGAAAAUCUCAUCUAAGAACAGGAUUCAAGGAAGAAGAGAUUGUGUGUAUGUGGAAGUGCACUUGUUAUUACUGACUGGAGAAUGGUGCCUUGUCUGCUCAAGACUCAGAUGUUUGGAAACCUCAAAUUUCUAGGGGCAUGACUAACGGGCAGAAUAUAAGCUGAAAAAACAUAUUAAAGAGACUCUAAGAAACCCAAAUAAUUGUCACACUAUCCAAAAACAAAUACUCAUGAUAUUUCACCUGCAGUUUCUAGUUCCAACUCAUUUCUGCUUACUCUGCUUGGAAAUCAAACAGGUUUGAGUGCUUGUUUCUGCAGUAGAUUAGAAGCAGUAAAAGGGUUAAAUUAAGUAGAUACAAAACAGGAGGGUUAAUAUGGCUAAAUGCAAAGACCCAGCAUCUAAGGCAAAAGCAGCAAAAAAAUCAGACUCUGAUGUGAGAUUUCAAAAGAGGAAUUUGGGGUGAGUUUAGCAAGUUUGUGUGUUUGUGUGUAUGUUGAGACAAACAGUCGUAUUUUUGACAGAAUCUGUGGUAAUAGCUAUCACAAAAUUCAGAAUGAGAGUUUAUCUUCAUACUAAUGAACAUAUUUUCAACAGAAGUUAAAGGUAAACAGCUUUUAGGGUAAGUAGCAAAAUAUAGAUUUUACUCAGGAAAAAAAUUGUAUCCAAGGAUUAUUUAUUUGCUGAUUUAUUUCAGAAGGCUUACUGCUGAAAGCAAUCAUGUUCAGUCAUUCAGAAAGUCAGCUCUUUAGAAUGACUUUCCCCUAAGGACUCUUGAUAACGAAAAUUCUGCUGUUUAAUGAUUAACUUAGUGUACGCUUAAUAAAUGCUAUUGAUUAUUACCUAAAUGAUGAAUGUAAAAGAAACUUCUAUGCUAUCUAGCCAGUCUAAUCUUUGGGGAAGAACAUGAAAUUUGAGAAAUUUUAUUUUUAAUUGUGAUGGGGCCAUCGGUUGCAUAGUUAAAGGGGAAUCUAGUGAUAGACUUUAACCCGGGUUUAUAAAUUGUCCCAAUUCUUCUUCCUAUUUGUCUUCAAAAUGGCAAACUGGCAGGUAGGGUACCUCUGAAGAGGGAAUGAGAAACUUAUUUUAAAUGUCUAAACCAAAAGGCAGUGGUCAACUUGGUAGUAUUAUCAAAUAACACCCAAGCAGACCGUGAUAAAGUCCCUGGAAGAUGAUCGGUGAUCAGAAGCAGGAUGUCUGCCAGGGCGUGUUUCUGGGCAGCAGAGGAGCUGUUGCAGCUCCAUCUGGCAGUUUCUCUUCAUGUGUGGCCACCGCAGUGGAGUGGAGGCAGAGAGUGAGCAGGACUCUCACACUUGCACAGAGUAGGCAGUGGAGCCCCAAACAUCGUGGGCAUACAGACUGAGGACACCCGGAGCCCAUGAAGGCUGCUCUUAAAACCUGGUCUUUGCCUGAGCUAAGAAUGACCAUUUGUAAUCAAGUCCCUGAUAUAAAGUAGCAACUGUUCCCAGGCAAUUUUACACACAGUAAGACCAGUAGGCAGCAGGGAUGAGUCAGUGGUAUCUGAGAAGCAUAUGAAAAGUGAACAAAGACACUUUUCUCUCUCUUUUUUUUUUUUUUGGUCUUUUUGCUAUUUCUUGGGCCGCUCCCACGGCAUAUGGAGGUUCCCAGGCUAGGGGUCAAAUUGGAGCUGUAGCCACCGGCCUACGCCAGAGCCACAGCAACUCGGAAUCCUAGCCGCGUCUGCAACCUACACCACAGCUCACGGCAACGCCAGAUCGUUAGCCCACUGAGCAAGGGCAGGGAUCGAACCCGCAACCUCAUGGUUCCUAGUCGGAUUCGUUACCCACUGCGCCACGACGGGAACUCCAAGACACUUUUCUCAAGCAUCCCUGGUGUUAUGGGUUAAAUCGCGUUCCACCCAAAAGAAAACCAAAAACCAAACCAAACAAACAACAGCAACAACCAAAACUUCAUAUGUUGAAGUCCUGACCUCCGUACUUUAGAAUGUAACCUUGUUCGGAAAUAGAGUCGUUGCAGGUAUAAUUAUUAAGUUAAGAUGAGGUCGUACUAAAGUAGGGUGAGUCCCUAAUUCAAGGGCAGGUGGGUCCCUAAUUCAAGGGCAGGGUCCCUAAUUCUUAUGCAGAGGGGAAGUUUGGACCCAGAGACAGAUGCCCACAGAGAGAGGACCAGGUGACAAGGAAAGUGGAAAUCGGGACGAGGCAUCUAUAAGCCAAGAAACUUCAAAUAUGGCCAGUGGAUUACCAGAAGCCAGGAGAGCGACAUGGGACAGACUUUCCCCCACAACCUUCAGAGGGAAUCACCCUGUUGACAGCUUAAUCAGGGACUUCCAGAACUGUGAGGCAACACAUCUCUGUUGUUCAUGCCAUCCAGCUUGUGGCACUUCAUUCCAGCAGCCCUAGCAAACUAACAGAUCCAUGGAUUCAGUCCUUAGGAAGAAUUAGGAACAAACUGCAAGAACACCACUGCAUAGAAUGUGUAAUGGUUGUUGGAAUUCCUUCUGUGAUGCAAUAGGAUUGACAGUGUCUCUGUAGCACCAGGAUGUGGGUUUGAUCCCUGGCCCUGCACAGUGGGUUAAGGGUCAGGCCUUGUGGCAGCUGCACCCUAAAUGACAACUGCAGCUCAAAUCUGAUCCCUGGCCUGGAAACCCUAUCUGCCACAGGAUGGCCAAAAAAGAAAAAAA